GACGAGCGCUGGCGGCGUGCCUAAUACAUGCAAGUAGAACGCACAGUUUAUACCGUAGCUUGCUACACCAUAAACUGUGAGUUGCGAACGGGUGAGUAACGCGUAGGUAACCUGCCUGGUAGCGUGGGAUGACUAUUGGAAACGAUAGCUAAUACCUCAUAAUAUUGAUUAUUGCAUGAUAAUUGAUUGAAAGAUGCUAUUGCAUCACUACCAGAUGGACCUGCGUUGUAUUAGCUAGUAGGUGAGGUAACGGCUCACCUAGGCGACGAUACAUAGCCGACCUGAGAGGGUGAUCGGCCACACUGGGAGUGAGACACGGCCCAGACUCCUGCGGGAGGCAGCAGUAGGGAAUCUUCGGCAAUGGACGAGAGUCUGACAGAGCAACGCCGCGUGAGUGAAGAAGGUUUUCGGAUCGUAAAGCUCUGUUGUAAGUGAAGAACGGAUGUGAGAGUGGAAGGUUCGCACUGGAAGGGAAUGUGACAAGAAGCGGAGGCUAAAUUCGGU
rnacentral:rRNA from 1 species